AUUGAACGCUGGCGGCAGGCUUAACACAUGCAAGUCGAGCGGGCGAGGUUGCUUCGGUAACUGAGCUAGCGGCGGACGGGUGAGUAAUGCUUAGGAACCUGCCUAUUAGUGGGGGCCAACAUUCCGAAAGGGAUGCUAAUACCGCAUACGUCCUACGGGAGAAAGCAGGGGAUCACUUGUGACCUUGCGCUAAUAGAUGAGCCUAAGUCGGAUUAGCUAGUUGGUGGGGUAAAGGCCUACCAAGGCGACGAUCUGUAGCGGGUCUGAGAGGAUGAUCCGCCACACUGGGACUGAGACACGGCCCAGACUCCUACGGGAGGCAGCAGUGGGGAAUAUUGGACAAUGGGGGGAACCCUGAUCCAGCCAUGCCGCGUGUGUGAAGAAGGCCUUUUGGUUGUAAAGCACUUUAAGUGGGGAGGAGGCUUACCUGGUUAAUACCUGGGCUAAGUGGACGUUACCCACAGAAUAAGCACCGGCUGACUCUGUGCCAGCCGCCGCGGUAA
rnacentral:rRNA from 1 species